rnacentral:lncRNA from 14 species
AGCUGAACCCUUUUGCAUUUCUCCAAGGUUUGUGCUCUGACAGGGCUGGGGUCCCAGUUCAAUUACUGGUGCUGACUGGAGCCAGUGUGGGCACUCCACAUGUGUCUCUGUGCUCUGUCCCAUGCUAGGGAUGAAUUACACUGGAUAACUGCAAGUCAGUUGAAUACAUUGAAAUGGGGUAUUUGAGUUUUCUCUGCUUAUUACAGUCCCCUGCAAAACCUGCUCCUGAGUAGCCACCCUGCCUCUGGUCAGAUGAACUGACCUGCUCAAAGGAAGACUUCAAAGGGGAAGUCUCCUUGCUUCCUCUUGGCACCAAGCACAGAUCAGGGCAUGUAUCAGCAUCUGAAGAGGUUUUACUUUGCAAAGGCCCUUAACAGACCCACUUUUUGUAGCAGAUCUAAGAAGGGGGUGGAGGUGGAGCAGCCCUUGCACAGGAAAGGCCUCAAGCACUGAAGCUCUAUUCUUCUUUCUAUUAUUUCUGCCAAGGUGACCUGGAAUACAUUCAGAGAAGGGCUGAAGUCUGACAUUCAGAAGGCACAUAGAAACCAUUGAAGGGAUGUUCAGUAACUCUGAUCUGAACCUCCUGCCCCUUCUAGUAAGCUCUUUGCUAGGUUUGCAUUUAAUAGUUGCAAGCUCAUGUGUCUCUGCAUAAAUGUCCCAGUUACCCUUUUCUCUUUGGAUGUCCUGCCAGGAUGAUGACAACCUGCUUGAGCAGAUCUUGAGCACAUCUGCAUGAACCUUGGUGUGUUGUUAUUGCAGUGCUUUGCUCAGUGUUGUUUGACAAGGGUGAAUUAAAGUGGUUGCUAUUAAUGAUGCUAUCUGAAUUAUUAACAGAACUAUGCUGUCUGCAAUGGUUUGUGUGUAUCACAGUGCGGGAACCCCAGGACAGAGGCAUUUUGCUCUCCUGUAGCUGCAGGCAUCCUCGGCUCUGCUCCAGGUCUGGCAGCUCCUGUAUAGCACCAUGCAGCGGUCAUGGAAACCACCCUUUGGGACCCUGCUCUCCCCAGGUACCAGGUACAGCACCCAAAUGCAUCUCUGCAGCUGGAUUUGGUGACUAUUUCCAGACGCCUGGGCCAUGCAGCUGGCAGAUGGGUGAACAAACACAUCUCAAAGUGCCCAAGUUGGAAAUGUCAUGAUGUGAAUCAC